rnacentral:rRNA from 1 species
AACGAACGCUGGCGGCAUGCCUAACACAUGCAAGUCGAACGAGACCUUCGGGUCUAGUGGCGCACGGGUGCGUAACGCGUGGGAAUCUGCCCUUAGGUACGGAAUAACUCAGGGAAACUUGAGCUAAUACCGUAUAAUGACUCCGGUCCAAAGAUUUAUCGCCUAAGGAUGAGCCCGCGUCGGAUUAGCUAGUUGGUGAGGUAAAAGCUCACCAAGGCGACGAUCCGUAGCUGGCUGAGAGGAUGAUCAGCCACACUGGGACUGAGACACGGCCCAGACUCCUACGGGAGGCAGCAGUGGGAAUAUUGGACAAUGGGCGAAAGCCUGAUCCAGCAAUGCCGCGUGAGUGAUG